rnacentral:tRNA from 1 species
UGAUAAUUAGUUUAAUUUAAAACAAAUGAUUUCGACUCAUUAAAAUAUGAUUUAUCUCAUAAUUAUCA